GACGAACGCUGGCGGCGUGCUUAACACAUGCAAGUCGAACGGAAAGGCCCUGCUUUUGUGGGGUGCUCGAGUGGCGAACGGGUGAGUAACACGUGAGUAACCUGCCCUUGACUUUGGGAUAACUUCAGGAAACUGGGGCUAAUACCGGAUAGGAGCUCCUGCUGCAUGGUGGGGGUUGGAAAGUUUCGGCGGUUGGGGAUGGACUCGCGGCUUAUCAGCUUGUUGGUUGGGUAGUGGCUUACCAAGGCUUUGACGGGUAGCCGGCCUGAGAGGGUGAACGGCCACAUGGGGACUGAGAGACGGCCCAGACUCCUACGGGAGGCAGCAGGGGGGAAUAUUGCACAAUGGGCGGAAGCCUGAUGCAGCAACGCCGCGUGCGGGAUGACGGCCUUCGGGUUGUAAACCGCUUUCGCCUGUGACGAAGCGUGAGUGACGGUAAUGGGUAAAGAAGCACCGGCUAACUACGUG
rnacentral:rRNA from 1 species